UUUCAUUGCUCAGCUAUUUUCCUAUGCCCUCGGGAUUGCAUUAUUUGAUAGUACAUGGUAUAAAGGACAGAAGGUUCAUAUUUAAGGCAAACAAGAUAAUAAAGUCAAAAUCUGAAAUGUUUGAGUAAAGAAAACUAGGAAAGUCAAGCAAAAACUAGUAGUUUACAUUUUUUAUUAAAUCUUCAACUUUCUAAUAUGUGAAUAUAGGACAGAUUUUUCUCUUCAGGGCAUGAUAACUUUUUCCCAGAAUUAGGACCUAGUUUGAUUUCCUUAAAGCUUUCUUCACUUUUAGUAUAAUUGAGAUGGCCAAUAUUUAAUUAAAUGUCACAACUCUCUUAAAAUGAUCAUUUUAUUUUCACUACAUAGAGUGCAGAACUGUUUGGAGCUGCUUUCUGUACUCCUUUAUGCCUGAUGGUAGUUAGUAGCAAUAAUAUAUACCCUUUUUCAGAUUAUUUACUAAUUC
rnacentral:lncRNA from 1 species